UGAGUUCUAUCUUGCUCUUGGUAGUUCACAUAGGUGACGAUUUGGGAAGAAAUAGAGGCUAGGAAGAUCGAGUCUUCGCGUGUAAGUCCUUUGUAUUUCUUAUCCUCACUAGUGAACUGUUUGAACUGGGCGAGGCCCCCCAGACGUAGGUGUUUUAUCACCGAACUGGGUUACCAUUGUUGGUGUCUUGUGUUCUUUACUUUCUGCUCGAUUUUGUUUGAGUAUCGCUGAUUACGUUGUUUGUGUGUGGCCGAGAC
rnacentral:lncRNA from 1 species